CUGUAAAUCAGAAAUGGGGUCGGAAAUUUAUUUUCACGCAAAGACUGAGAAAAAAUAUGAAUAAAAUACAUCUCUUUUCCAAUUCCCAGUUUCAAGUCGUUUGUGUGGUUUAUAAAAUAUAGCUGUGUGGAAAUUUGCUGUGACCUGGCAACCCCAGUUAAUUAUAACAAUAAGAACUGCUAGUCUGUAUGUUGGAUGACUUUAGGUUUCUCUCUCACUACUUGCCACGGGUUUACACUAAACAUUCUCUAAAUAGUAGCCUAUAGCUUAAGAUAAGUGUGAUAGCCUUUCGACUUUUUGAGGCUAUGUCUUUCGACUAAGAAAAUCUGUCGGAUUGUCUUUUUUUUAACCACCACAACAACGUACAACUCAAUGUCCAUUGUUAAGGACACUGAGACACAAAUACUGUGGUUAGGCAGAUAAGCUAACUGGAUUCUGGUUUUUCUUUAACUGACUACAAUUAGUUAACGAAAUCGCUAGCUUAGUGUUUUGGCAGCAGAUGGACUGUGAAAUAAAAGACAGGCACAUUAGCUACACGUUUUUUCUUGAUAGUACAGACCUCCGGUUCAUCGAUUUGCAUCUGGUUUUGACUGAAAUCCAGCAGUGCAGCUUGGUGGAGCUGUGGGUGGAGUCUGAGCCAAAAGCAGCUAUAUUUCUCCUUCAUUGUAAUUUUAUUCACCUCUCAUCGGUACAGUCCAAGUGGGAUGGUGAGAACUCUACUGAAUUCACUCCACAGCUUCAGUAAAGUGUUUCAAUUAGUCAGUUUCAUUCGUUUGAAUAGUAAAAAUCGUCACAAUCGACAGGAGGAAAAGGAGAAAUUAUCUGGAAAGCCCAGCAGACCUGGAGGACUUCACAGAAACAUCCUGGAGACAUGUCCAGAAUUUAUCAGCCUCCUGGUUUUCCCACAAAAACAUUCAAGGCAAGCUCCCGGGACAAUCAGCCGCCGAGGAGGAGACACGUUACACUUCGUGACAUGGCGCUAACUCCAGACACUGUGCCGCCUUUCACUAUUCCUCCGCUGUGUGUGCUCGCGGUUCCUCCGGGUUGUUCUCCGCCGAGUUCAUCCUCACUACCGGAGCGAGGUCUCCACCGCCGUCGCUGCCUGCUGCAUGAGCUCCCGCUUACUGACGAGCUGCACUCCGUUUGCUCUCCAUCUGACCCGGCCAUGUCUUUACUACAUCUCGCAAAAGUCACCACUUCAUACGGCUUCGUUACUUUGGCAGAGAGGCCUCGAGUUCGCAGAAGGGAAUCGCUAUUUUUCGACGAUAAAAUGACCCUUAUACCGAGGAGCGACCGGACAGGACAGUAUCAGGACAGCUGAUGUUUAUUUCCGGUCGAUUAUCGGCGGUUGACGGUACCUACCUGUCUGUAAAAAAAGGCUGCAGCUUGCCUGUUUUAGUCCAAAUAUAUAGACGAGUUUACAUACAGACUUUUUAUUAUUAUUGAUUAUUAUACGUAACAAAUUUUCCCUUGAAUAGGGGGAUGUUUCUUCUGAAAAUGUUUAUUCAGUGAGAACAAUCCAUUUUUAAUGUAAAUAGCUCUUCAAAAUACUGGUUAUUUACAAUAACUAGAUGUAGUAAUUGGAAAGAGAUGACAAUUAAUAGUAAGAUCUCUACACUGUUGUCCAAAAACAGUUUGUUGUCACAAUUUCUGGGCAAAAUACAAGAAAAUAAAGAACGUGCUCUGAAGGAAA